AUUGAACGCUGGCGGCAGGCCUAACACAUGCAAGUCGAACGAGUGGCGGACGGGUGAGUAAUGUCUGGGAAACUGCCUGAUGGAGGGGGAUAACUACUGGAAACGGUAGCUAAUACCGCAUACCAUCGGAUGUGCCCAGAUGGGAUUAGCUAGUAGGUGGGGUAAAGGCUACACUAGGCGACGAUCCCUAGCUGGUCUGAGAGGAUGACCAGCCACACUGGAAUUGAGAAACGGUCCAGACUCCUACGGGGGGAAGCAGGGGGGAAUAUUGCAAAAUGGGCGCAAGCCUGAUGAAGACAGGCCGGGUGGAUGAAGAAGGCUUUCGGGUUGUAAAGUACUUUCAGCAGGGAGGCGUUACCCGCAGAAGAAGCACCGGCUAACUACGUGCCAGCAGCCGCGGUAAUAC
rnacentral:rRNA from 1 species